AUUGAACGCUGGCGGCAUGCCUUACACAUGCAAGUCGAACGGCAGCACGGGUGCUUGCACCUGGUGGCGAGUGGCGAACGGGUGAGUAAUACAUCGGAACAUGUCCUGUAGUGGGGGAUAGCCCGGCGAAAGCCGGAUUAAUACCGCAUACGAUCUACGGAUGAAAGCGGGGGACCUUCGGGCCUCGCGCUAUAGGGUUGGCCGAUGGCUGAUUAGCUAGUUGGUGGGGUAAAGGCCUACCAAGGCGACGAUCAGUAGCUGGUCUGAGAGGACGACCAGCCAAACUGGGACUGAGACAGGGCCCAGACUCCUACGGGGGGCAGCAGUGGGGAAUUUUGGACAAGGGGCGAAAGCCUGACCCAGAAAUGCCGGGGGUGUGAAGAAGGCCUUCGGGUUGAAAAGCACUUUUGUCGGGAAAGAAAUCCUUGGCCCUAAUACGGUGGGGGGAUGACGGUACCGGAAGAAUAAGCACCGGCUAACUACGU
rnacentral:rRNA from 1 species